AUCCUUGAGAACGAAAAGAAAGAUACGUAGCCAUUGGAUCGAGUUGGGUUUUAUAUACUUUGAUGCGAGGAGUUGGUGAGGAGGGUGUGGAGGGGGAGCAGUGGUAAGAAGGAAGGGUGCAUAGCUGAAAGAGCUCCUUUCGAUCCAACCCACGAGGGGGAGUGGGGUGUAUACGGCUGCUGGUUCAUGAAUACCUUUGGGUGCACCGGUUCGUGAGCAGAUGAGGGUGCACCUCAAGGGCUGUGCAUGACCCAGGAGACGUCCUUGCCUUCCUUCUUCUCCUGCUUGGAUUGAAGGGAGCUCCUCUCUCUCUCUCUCUCUCUCUCUCUGGGGUUGUUCUUACAAGUUAAGGACGGCUGCUCUCUAAGCAGUUUCAACUACUCCAGUUUUUAAUAUUCUUGGUGCUUGUAAAAAAGACUUGGAUCAAUCCUUUCUUCAAACUUUUAUGGUUCUUGUGUCUUCAGACGGCUGCUCUCCAAGCAGUUUGAACUGCUCCAGUUUUUAAUAUUCUUGGUGAUUGUAAAGAAGACUUGGGAUCAAUCCUUUCUUCAAGGUUGCAGAAAUUUAGGGGUAACUGGGGAGGGCCAUCCACCAUUGUGUAGCCCUGCGCUGACGAGAAUGGUUAACAUGCUCUUGCAUUUCAGAAGUGUUAAUUUGACUAUACGUGCAGUUUAGUUUUUUCUGAGGUAUCUAAAAUUUAAAAUAUUCAAACAAGCCUUUCAUGUUUCUCUUGGAUUUCUUAAACAUUCAAAACGACUUGAUAGAAAAAGUCUAGAUAUAUCCUGCAUAGUUAUCAUGAGCAAAAUAAACAAAUUGAAUAAUCGAUGUGGGACUAAACACACACCCGCACGGAUCCUCACAUA